GCGUAAGCGCGCGCAGGCGGUUUCUUAAGUCUGAUGUGAAAGCCCACGGCUCAACCGUGGAGGGUCAUUGGAAACUGGGGAACUUGAGUGCAGAAGAGAAAAGCGGAAUUCCACGUGUAGCGGUGAAAUGCGUAGAGAUGUGGAGGAACACCAGUGGCGAAGGCGGCUUUUUGGUCUGUAACUGACGCUGAGGCGCGAAAGCGUGGGGAGCAAACAGGAUUAGAUACCCUGGUAGUCCACGCCGUAAACGAUGAGUGCUAAGUGUUAGAGGGUUUCCGCCCUUUAGUGCUGCAGCUAACGCAUUAAGCA
rnacentral:rRNA from 2 species